GUACCUGACAGUCUGUGUCUUACUGGGAUUUCUAGGUGAUUCUGGUACCAGGGAAGUAGACUACUGGUCUUGCCCAACUCUCUAUGUGGCAGGUCUGGCCCCAGAAUGACGACUCACUGAAAUGAAGUCAGUGCUGCCCCUGGAUGUUAUCCUGACCUUCCCAGGCUGGGUGAGACAUCACUCCCGUCUCAUGACACCUUGUGUCUCCUUUGGUUGUGACCCACCUCGUCCUGUAGUGGAACUGCAAAUGGUGGCCCCGGAAAGGUAUCUGGGCCUUGAAUGUGAAGAAGAACUCUUUAAUGAUGGAGGUGAUUGAAGCAAGAAAGGCGAAGAGACACAAAGAACUCACAGAGAACAUCGGGCUUCCCCUGAGUCUGCUUGAAAAGCACAGCCCGUGGCCAGCCUAUGUCACCUACACGUCCCCGAUGGUGGAAAAACUCAUUGAGAAAAGCAAAGCCAGGGACCUGGGUUCUAUGCAAGCACUUGAAGAAAGCCAGCGGGCCUCAAGGCAGAGCCAACCUUCCGGCAUCGCGCAGCUGAAAAGGAGAAAGUCAUCUAAGUCCUCCGGAGACACGCUGUCCAAGGACAGGAGGUCAGAGACCAUGUUAUCGGUAUGGAGCACGCGUUCGGUGACGAGCCUGGGGCCCGCCGUCAUGCCCGAACCGAUACGCUUUCAUACGGAGUCCAGAGAAAACCCCACUGCAAACUAUAACAAGAUCAUCUUCUCUCGAAAACCUAUGAUGAAGAUCUUUCCAUACAGCUCACUUCUAGCCAACAAGGAGACACAUUCGAAUAUUUAGCAGGGAAUCCCUGCAACCACCCACCCCCCCUCCCUUCCCAAGACGGUGCAGCAACGAAGCUCCAUUUGUCACCAGUUUUGCUACGUCCUCUGAAUGUGAACUUGCCCCUGCUUGUGCAGAGGUUGGCCGGAGACAAACCAGAUCAGAAUGUGGGCUGUGGGUGGGGGGUGGGGGGUGGGGGAACCCUCUCCAGCGUCACCAUCUGGUAGGGAUGGGAAGUGCCAUGUUCUAGUUCCUGCCGUAGAUGCUUUAGAACCUAACUGAGGGUGAAUCCGUCCUGGUCUAGGCAGGAGACCGAAAUCACCCCGGUUGUGAUGCCAGCGAUAAUGUAAUGUAGAGAAUUACUAACCAGGUGGCUGGAAAAGGCAGGGGGGAGGCCACACAGAUAUUAGGGGCGGUAGCACCUGUAGGAAGCAGUUUUCACAAGGCUGCACGAGGGAAGAUAUCGGACUUGUUAAAGUUAGGCACUCGGAGAAGGGGUGUGCGGGCUGGAUCUCAGAUUUCUGAGAUGCGGGGGACAGGGGUGCUCCUCAGCAGGUUCUCGGGGUCUCUGAGCUCGGAGAAAAGUUCCUGCGGGGCCGGUACCUCUGAAUCUGAGGAGGAGAAGGUCUCUGGCUGAGGCGGGCUCCGUGGUUGCUGAGAAAACCAAAACGCUGGAGUCCAAUGCUUCUGGAAAGGAUUGACCCUGCCUGAGUGAACAACAAGCACUGCGAGUGGGAACAGGGACAGGAAGCCAAUAGAGUCACAUCUGUGAAGCAAUGAACACCCACCUCGCUUCCCUCAGCAGAGGCGUAGAGGAUGUGAUGUGCAAGUCGCUAUGAGGGCCAUUCGAAGAAGUUGGAUUUGCCAUCCACGUGGCCACUCUCUGCAUACACGAAUCGUGCAGAAACGUCGGCACUCACCUCUGGCUGCUGUGAGUGGUGUUGGGAAAGCUGCACAAAUGAGGAGCUCCGGGCCGAUUCCUGGGGUAUCCGACCUUGGCCAGAACCAACUCUUGCACAAAUACAGGUGGUUUCCAGCUGA